UCACAUAACCAGGGGUGCUCCUUCUCGGGGCUGAGAUGCGCGAUCCGGCGCGAACCCUUUCACAGCUGAUCUGGAUAAUACCAGCGGAGCGAGGUGCUAGCAUGUUCAU
rnacentral:ncRNA from 2 species